UUGACAACAACAACUAGGCUGUGUUGGUUAUAUAUAAUUGACAAUUUGACCUCAAAUCAGGUAGGACUACCCGCUGAACUUAAGCAUAUCAAUAAGCGGAGGAAAAGAAACUAACAAGGAUUCCCCUAGUAACUGCGAGUGAAGCGGGAAAAGCUCAAAUUUGAAAUCUGGUAGUCUUUUUGUGGCUGCCCGAGUUGUAAUCUAGAGAAGCAUUUAUCCGCGCUGGACCGUGUACAAGUGUCUUGGAAUAGACCAUCAUAGAGGGUGAGAAUCCCGUCUUUGACCACGGACUACCAGGGCUUUUUGUGAUU
rnacentral:rRNA from 1 species